rnacentral:tRNA from 1 species
UUCCUGGAGGUCUAGUGAUUAAGGACUCGGCAUUGUCAUUGCUGUGGCUUGGGUUCAAUCCCUGGCCCGGGAA